GACGAACGCUGGCGGCGUGCUUAACACAUGCAAGUCGAACGGAAAGGCCCUGCUUUUGUGGGGUGCUCGAGUGGCGAACGGGUGAGUAACACGUGAGUAUCCUGCCCUUGACUUUGGGAUAACUUCAGGAAACUGGGGCUACUACCGGAUAGCAGCUCCUGCUGCAUGGUGGGGGUUGGAACGUUUGGGCGGGUGGGGAUGGACUCGCGGCUAACCAGCUUGUUGGUGGGGGAUUGGCUUACCCAGGCUUGGAUGGGUAGCCGGCCUGGGAGGGUGACCGGCCACAUUGGGCCUGAGAUAGGGCCCAGACUCCAACGGGAGGCAGCGGGGGGAAAUAUGGCACAAUGGGCGGAAGCCUGUGGCAGCAACCCCCGGUGCGGAAUGACGGCCUUCGGGUUGUAAACCGCUUUAGCCUGUGACGAAGCUGUAGUGACGGUAAUGGGUGAAGAAGCACCGGCUAACUACGUG
rnacentral:rRNA from 1 species